rnacentral:rRNA from 2 species
UUUAUGGAGAGUUUGAUCCUGGCUCAGGAUGAACGCUGGCGGCGUGCCUAAUACAUGCAAGUCGAGCGAACGGACGAGAAGCUUGCUUCUCUGAUGUUAGCGGCGGACGGGUGAGUAACACGUGGAUAACCUACCUAUAAGACUGGGAUAACUUCGGGAAACCGGAGCUAAUACCGGAUAAUAUUUUGAACCGCAUGGUUCAAAAGUGAAAGACGGUCUUGCUGUCACUUAUAGAUGGAUCCGCGCUGCAUUAGCUAGUUGGUAAGGUAACGGCUUACCAAGGCAACGAUGCAUAGCCGACCUGAGAGGGUGAUCGGCCACACUGGAACUGAGACACGGUCCAGACUCCUACGGGAGGCAGCAGUAGGGAAUCUUCCGCAAUGGGCGAAAGCCUGACGGAGCAACGCCGCGUGAGUGAUGAAGGUCUUCGGAUCGUAAAACUCUGUUAUUAGGGAAGAACAUAUGUGUAAGUAACUGUGCACAUCUUGACGGUACCUAAUCAGAAAGCCACGGCUAACUACGUGCCAGCAGCCGCGGUAAUACGUAGGUGGCAAGCGUUAUCCGGAAUUAUUGGGCGUAAAGCGCGCGUAGGCGGUUUUUUAAGUCUGAUGUGAAAGCCCACGGCUCAACCGUGGAGGGUCAUUGGAAACUGGAAAACUUGAGUGCAGAAGAGGAAAGUGGAAUUCCAUGUGUAGCGGUGAAAUGCGCAGAGAUAUGGAGGAACACCAGUGGCGAAGGCGACUUUCUGGUCUGUAACUGACGCUGAUGUGCGAAAGCGUGGGGAUCAAACAGGAUUAGAUACCCUGGUAGUCCACGCCGUAAACGAUGAGUGCUA